rnacentral:rRNA from 1 species
GGGCGAAAGCCUGACGCAGCAACGCCGCGUGAGGGAUGAAGGCCUUCGGGUUAUAAACCUCUUUGUCAGGGACGAUGAUGACGGUACCUGGCGAAUAAGCCACGGCUAACUACGUGCCAGCAGCCGCGGUAAUACGUAGGUGGCAAGCGUUGUCCGGAUUUACUGGGCGUAAAGAGCGCGCAGGCGGUCGUUCAAGUCGCGUGUGAAAGCCCCCGGCUCAACUGGGGAGGGUCACGCGAUACUGAUCGACUCGAAGGCAGGAGAGGGUAGUGGAAUUCCCGGUGUAGUGGUGAAAUGCGUAGAUAUCGGGAGGAACACCAGUGGCGAAGGCGACUACCUGGCCUGUUCUUGACGCUGAGGCGCGAAAGCUAGGGGAGCAAACGGGAUUAGAUACCCCGGUAGUCCUAGCCGUAAACGAUGGACACUAGGUGUUGGUGGUAUCAACCCCGCCAGUGCCGAAGCUAACGCAUUAAGUGUCCCGCCUGGGGAGUACGGCCGCAAGGCUA